UAGUACGAGAGGACCGGAGUGGACGAACCUCUGGUGUUCGGGUUGUGUCGCCAGACGCAUUGCCCGGUAGCUAAGUUCGGAAUCGAUAACCGCUGAAAGCAUCUAAGCGGGAAGCGAGCCCUGAGAUGAGUCUUCCCUGAUACUUUAAGUAUCCUAAAGGGUUGUUCGAGACUAGAACGUUGAUAGGCAGGGUGUGUAAGCGUUGUGAGGCGUUGAGCUAACCUGUACUAAUUGCCCGUGAGGCUUAACCCUACAACACCCAAGGGGUUU
rnacentral:rRNA from 1 species